rnacentral:lncRNA from 1 species
AUUAGCUCUGGGGGAUAAAAUCAGCCAGUACCAAACUCACCCAUGACAGAGCUAUCACAUGUUCUUUUGGUGCCAAGGUAGCGCUAGAAUGACUCUCAGACAAGAUGAGGAAGCCAAAGCCUUUUCCCUCCUUAACUUCAGGGGGCUGUGGAAUAGGAUCAGGUGGUGGGUCUAUCGCAACUGCCUGAGCAUUGGCGCCCUCUGAUGGACAAUAGAUAAAUUGCAUUAAGGUUGACGAUGGAGGUGGGGUGAAGCGUCUUCUCUCCCUUUCAUGAAAAGGAAAAUACUGCGUUUUGGGAUAGGCUGGCAUUGCUUAAGGUGAAUGUCCAUUGGAAGGUGUCAUCUUGAAAUUGGGGCGUCUAUAACAACCUUCUCCUUAUGAAACCACUUUUCCCUGUGUUCCCUGGCUUGGUAAAUGCCUAACUGGUUUCCCAAACAAGAAACCUGGGGUUGGUCCUAGACUCUCUACUCUCCCCCAUCCUCACGUUCAAAUAGUUCCUGAGACCUCAUCAUUUAACCAUCUACAUUUGUCUUGAAGCUGCCUGCAUUUACCAACCCCAAUCGACGAGAAAACAGAGGAAGUUUUCCUGUUUUGAAUAUUCCCUCUUAGCCUCUUUCCCUCUGUCAUCAAGUUAUUUUUGAUUAAAUAACUGCUCUGGUUAUUGCACUGCAGAACAAAUCACCUCCAGACUCAGUGGUUGGAGUUCCUGUUGUGGCUCAGCAAAUUAAGAAUCUGACUAAUAUCCAUGAGGAUGAGGGUUCCAUCCCUGACCUCGCUCAGUGGGUUGGGGAUCUGGCAUUGCCAUGAGCUGUGGUGCAAGUCGUAGAUGAAGCUCAGAUCCCGUGGUGCUGUGGCUGUGGUGUAGGCUGGAAGCGGUAGCUCUGAUUCAACCCCUAGCCUGGGAAUUUCCACAUGCCACAGGUGCAGCCCUAAAAAAGCAAAAGAUAAAUAAAACAACUCAGAAUUCAGUAAGGGUGUGGUUUGGCAGUUCUGGCUGGAAAUUUCUUCUGUGAUUGCAGCCUGAUGGUGACUAGACCUGGGACAGCAGGAGCCUGAGCAGCUGGGAGGGUGCGGGGCCCAGCAUCUCUCUCUCUCCGCCUGGACUCUCCAGAUGGGGUGCUUGGGCUUCUUCACAGCAUGGUGGACCGAGGGCAGUGUGCCUGGUUACAUGACAACUGAGGGCACAAGCACAAGUGUUUCCAUGAGCAAAGUGAAAACGGAACCACUAUUUAUGAUCUAGCCUCAAAAAUACACAGCAUCAUUCUGUUCUACUCUAUUAGUUGAUGUGGUAUCAAAAGCCCACCAGGUGUGUCAAGGGUUGGGGAACCUGACCUCACCUCUCAAUGCGAGGAGUGUCAAAGAGCGUGUGGACUUGUUUUAAACCUGCCACAACUCAUUCUUGGUGAAAAAUUAAAAUAUGACACAAAUAAGGCUUCCACCACCUCCCCCCGCCUUAAUUUCUGUGUUGUCUAUUUCUCCACAUUAGAAACCAAGCGAAAUGAGGGCGAGGACUUGGGCAUUCUAUUCACUGCAGUGGCCCCAGUGCCUAGAACAGGGUGCGAGAACUACCGGGUGAUGGAACAGAAGAAAAUAUCUGCAGAGAGGAUGAGCUCAGCUCUCGGAGCCUCGCAGCCUGGAUUCAAAUCCCAGCGCUCAUGUGAAACUGUGUGUAACUUUGGAUAAGAAACCUCAUAAAGCCUUAGUUUUCUCUUUUGUGAGAAGGAGGUACUGUUACUAUACACCUCCUGGGGUGGUUUUGAGUUAAUUUAAGCAAAGCGCUUAGAACAGCCUGUAACUUGUGGGAAGUAUCAUGUGUAUUAGCCACUAUCAGCCCUGGUCAGUAUCCAGUUCCCACAACAGCAGCAUCCCUUCCAGAAUCUUCUUUUAGUGUAAUUUCUGCUCCCCUAUUAUCCCUCAUCUCCCACUUAUUUUCUGACCCUGUGUCUCUAGUCUUCUGAUUAGGGUCAUAAAAGACCCCUCCUCAUUCUGGUAAAGACCCUUUUCUGCUUAAGGGAGCAAGAGUGAGUGUAUUGAUUAGGUUUGGUUGCACACAUCAGAAAAACACCAAAUGAGUGAGUUAAACAAGCUAGACAAUUUUCUCUUUGUGAAGAAACUACAGAGGUCAGCAGUCCCGGGCUUUAGAGACCCAGCAUCUUGAUGCUGUCUUGGUGUUCCCGCUCCAUUUAACACAUGGCUUCAUGGUCUAAACUAGCCGCUCAAGCUCCAGCCACUGCAUCUACAUUCUGACCAGGAUGGAAGAAGAGAGGCUGAAGGAGCCCAUUUCUCUUCCUUUUAAGGAGGCCUCCUAGAAGUCUCACCUAAUACCUUUGUUUAUCUCUCAUGGCCAGAACUUAAUCGCAAGACUACACGUAGGUACGAGAAAGGCAGGGGUGGAUGGUCUUUAGCUGAGCAGUUAGGUAUCCAACUAAAAACAGAGAGGAAGGAAAGAAUGACCAUUGGGUAGCCUACUAGAAAUCUCUACCUUGGUCUUGCUGUGUCCAACCAAGAGUCUUACAAGGAAGAGCGGGCUCAGCCCGUGGCCACAGAAGAUCAAGGGAUCCUGACACUAUCUAGCACAGUGAUCUACUGGUUCUCUUCUCAAUUUUCUCUAAUUGCCUUUUCUAAAUUCUUUUUUCCAUUCCUGUUUUUCUUGAAUGCCCACUGUUAUUCCCUUGAUUCCAAGUCCCUCAUCUUUCUGCUCUAUUUUCUUCUCUCUCUCUUUUUUUUUUUUUUUUUUUUUUUUUUUUUUUUUUUUUUGCUUUUUAGGGCCACACUCAUGGCAUAUGGAAGUUUCCAGUCUAGGGGCCCAGUCAGAGCUACAGCUGCCGACCGACGCCACAGCCACAGCAACUGGGGAUCCGAGCCAUGUCUGCGACCUACACCACAGCUCACAGCAAUGCUGGCUCUCCAACCCACUGAGCGAGGCCAGGGAUUGAACUCACAUCCUCGUGGAUAUUAGUCAGAUUCACUUCUGCUCUGCCAUGACUCCUUUCUGCUCUAUUUCUAUGCAAUAGGUCCAACCCCAUCUAGCCUCCACACCUUCUGCCUGCAGUCCCUUUUACCUGGAAGGGCCGUCUUUGUCCCUCUGGCUUAUCUAAAGCUUGCCUGUGGGGAACACGUGCCAUGCCUUUGACCACUCUGUCUGAGUUUGGGGGAUUUCCCACCUAAAGAGUAGAAAGCAGAGGAGUUCCUGUUGUGGUUCAGAGGGUUACAAACCCGACUAGUAUCCAUGAGGAUUGGGGUUCAAUCCCCGGCCUCGCUCAGUGGGAUAAGGAUCUGGCAUUACUAUGAGCUGUGGUGUAAGUUGCAGACACGACUUGGGUCCCAUGUUGCUGUGGCUGUGGCAGAGGCCAGCAGCUGCAGCUCCAAUCCAACCACUAGCCUGGGAACUUCCACAUGUCGCAGGUAUGGCCCUAAAAAGAAAAAAAAAAAAAAAAAAGUUGAAAGCAGAGCCAGGUCUGAUGUCUAGCCUCCCUUGCAGCAAGGGGCUGGCAGAUGGCCAGCUUCCCCUGCACAGGUCCUCAACUUGGUGGUGAAUGACUCGAGGAAGUCCCACCUAAGAGUAAGAGUAGCAGAGAAGCCUGCAGUUUGCAGAAGUGGGAGUCCUGAAAAUGGCAUCCCAUACCCAGCCUUGGCCAUGUGGCCUAUACCCCAGGGUGGUGGCAGUAGGGUCGGGUCGUUCCGGGGUAGCCCAGCAGUGAAAUGCAGACUUUGCAUCUGGCUGCAGAGCCUCCAAACCUGAUUUUCUGGCCCUUCCAGGUUUCCAUCCGCUUCUUGGUAUAUUUUAAUGAUACCGUUUUUGCUUAUAUUAUCUAGAGAGAAUGCUCUUGUUCGCCAUUCAGAACUUUGUCUGAUAUACUGGGUAUUAUGUCUGGGUAUUAGUUUCCUCUGGCUGCUGUAACAAAUUGCCACAAACCUAGUGGGUUAAAGUACCACAAACUGAUUAUAGUUCUGGAGUCCAGAAGUCUGAAAUGGGUCUCAGUGGGUCAACUUCAAGGUGCCAGCAGGGCUGUGGCCCUUUCUGGAGGUUCUAAGGGAGAAUCUAUUUUCUUCCCUAUUCCAAAUUCUGGAGGCAGCCCACAUCCCUUGGCUUGUGGUCCUCGCCCAUCUCCAAAGCCAGCAGGGGCAGCACUCUGCCUCUGCUUCUAUUAUCACAUCUCCCUUCUCUGGUGCUGAUGCUUCCAUCUCCCUCUUUCACUUUUAAGGACCCCUUGUUAUUUGAUUCAACCCACACAGAUGAUCCAGAAUACUCUUCCCAUCUCAAGAUCCUUAUUUUAACACCCUCUGCAAAGACCCUUUGGCCAUGUAAGGUAACAUUUCCAGGGGCCAGAGAUCAGCCCGUUGGGGGAAGGGCAUCUUUGAAGGGCUACCAGCCUGUCUAUCACAGUUGGGUUCCCCAGGAUCUCAGUCUGAGAUAAGGCUUCGGAUGCACGUGGUUCAUUUGAGAAGCACCAGUAGGACAGAGGGGAAGGGAGACACGGGAGGGAAGGCUGCCAUGACAGGGUGUGUGGCCAGAGCUGUCUGUUCAUCACUGGGUGACUUUCCUCAGGGUGUCAACACUGUCACUUCUGGUCUGCCCUAGGCUCAGCCACACAUCAGUGUCCAGGGAGAGCACUCAGGCCAAGAGCCUGGCAUAUUUAAAAACAAAAAAUACUGGGAGUUCCCGUUGCGGCUCAGUAAUAAACCUGACUAGUAUAUAAGGAUGCAGAUGUGGUCCCUGGCCCUGCUCAGUGGGUUAAGGACCCACAGUUGCCAUGAGUUGCAGUAUAGAUUGCAGACGUGGUUUGGAUCCCAUGUUGCUGUGGCUGUGGUGUAGGCUGGCUGCUGCAGCUCCAAUGUGACCCCUGGCCUGGGAACUUCCAUAUCUCGCAAGUGCAAUCUUAAAACAAAAAACAAAACAUUGUGUCAAUGUCCCAGCUAUGUGCCCUGGGCACUCACCUCUCCUGGCUGCAGGAGGCUGCUUCCCAUAAGGGGCUCAGCCAGCCAGGGUGCAGAACAUAGUGUCAAUGCUGACACCCCUAGAAGCAGCCCUUAGGCGAUGACAGGUGGGAACUGGGUGAAUGGAUGCCGGCUGACUCCCCCCUCCCUUGGCUGGGAUGAGGCUGAGGCUCACCUACCCUGGCUCGGGGAUUCUCCACUGGGAUGGAGCCCCAGACGCCCUCAGUGGCAACUGGCUUGAUUAUCACCCUGUCUGGGCUGCAUCCCCAUCCCCUGCUGCUGUGUCCUGGGAUCACCCCAAACACACUCAGAUCCUUGUCUUGGGGUCCUCUCCUCAGGGAG